rnacentral:rRNA from 1 species
GACUCUSGGCAACGGAUAUCUCGGCUCUCGCAUCGAUGAAGAACGUAGCGAAAUGCGAUACUUGGUGUGAAUUGCAGAAUCCCGUGAACCAUCGAGUCUUUAAACGCAAGUUGCGCCCGAAGCCGUCAGGCCGAGGGCACGCCUGCCUGGGCGUCACGC